GCCAUUUUCCAUUCCAGAGAAGUACUCAGGAAGUCUUAAUAAGUUCAAGUGUAAGGUAACUUUUACCCUUCCCAGCUCUAAUUAGGUUUCGCUGUCCCUCCAAUCUAAUUUAAGAUCUAAUAUGAGGAAACCACACUGUAUUAGUGAAAGGAUCACAAUAUCAAGAUUUUCCAACUUCAAUUCACUGAUAUAACUUUUCUUGAAUCCUGGACAAAAGAACUUAGAACAUCAAAAGAUCAUAGCAGGAUUCUAAAAAACAAAGAUUGUAUUUGGUGCCUAUUGAGUCUAAAAGUUAUCUUGGAUGAAAAGGGUAAAAAUCAGUAAUAUGUCUGGUUCAGUAUCAAGAUUUUGAAAAUAUCAAAAGGAAGAAAAAAAAAGGUACCUUGUUUGCUAAUUCAUUUGGAAAAGCACCAUUUUCCUCUGUCAGUUGAGAGUUAGCCGCCGUGUUCUUUCCCACAACAGCCAAAUCUGUCUGCAAAAGCACAAAAAAAUAAAAUAAAAAAUGCUAAGCUUCUCUCAGCUCCUGCACUUGAGCAUGGGGCAUUAAUAAGUGAACUCAUUACUGAAAAUUGAGUCGCUAUACCUGCUCCUUCAGUAUAGGCUUGUUUUUACCUUCAUCAUAUUCUACAUGAUCAAGGCUUGCCUGAGUAUUCUGCAGACCAUGAGAUGCAGGGUCGUUCAUUUUUCCAUAGCCAAGGGCAAACAGCUGGUCCUCUUCUCUCGAAGCCACAGAUAUUGGAAAGGGCUUUACCGGGCUGUUAGUUGUACAUUUUGAAGAAGACCAUAGCUCAUCAGCAUUACCAAGAUUUACAUUGCCAAAUAUUGGGUCAUCAUUGCUGCAAAAUCACCACUUGUGAGGAUAUUGAGUCAGAUGGUUAUCACUGUUCUCCAACAGAAUCAAGAUAAAAUAUAAGAACAUUAGUGAAGAACAGAAAUGCAGGAAAGCCCUUCCACAAUUGAACAAGCUCACCAAUUCCUUACAAAUCCAGUGCUGCUAUAUUACAUUCUUUCUGCCAUUUAUACUUGUAAUUGAGGAUAUUGUGCUGCUAAAAACUCGCAUCCUUCAGGUUCUUUUCACAAUUAACAAAAUUAAGCCAGGAUCAAAAACCAUAAAUUUUCAAACAACUAGUCUUUUUUGUUAGUGUUGCUUUCAGCAGACAGCACUUGUUUGGAAAAGGAUAUAGAUCCAAAACAGAAGAAACUACAAUUAUUAAAAGAGUCUGGUUGUUUUUCCUUCACAACAACACUCUUGUAGUACAUGAUUUUUUUCUUCUGAAAUGAAAAUAGGCAGUGAGCAUAAUUAUUUUGUCCGCGAAACUUUCACUUCACAGUCAGUAAUAAGAAUUUGUUCAAAUUAUCAGAAUAAUGAGAUGUACAAGCUUCCAUAUCAGGGUGCUGCUGACCAUCUUUCAUUUAGGUGCAGAAAGUAAGAAAUGGUAACUGUGCUUUACCUAAAAAUUCGAUCAAGAUCAUCAAAGCUUCCAAUGCUAGCCCAGCCAUAAUCAACAAAAUCACCUUGCUCUUCACCUUCAUGAGGAUUUUGAAAAAUCUCAGUGUCCUUAUCAAGAUGAUCUGUCUCUGCGUUUUAAAAAAAAGAAUUAGAAUGACAGUAGCAUGUAAGAUACUAUGCUAUGAAAACAUCAUGCAACUCGUCACCCUAUCUACAUUUUUUCCUUGUAAUUGAAAUCUCAUCACCUGCUGAUGAAUCGAGUUUGGUAAUCUCAGUUAGAUUGUUAGAGAUUGAAGUUUCCAAGGAAUCCUGCUCAGUUUUGGCAGCAUUACGUGAGGACAAGUUAGGCCAUCGGUCCAUGUCAAGUCCUAAGGAAGAAGUUCCUUCACUUGUGUCAACAUUCGAAAUGCUCUCCAGCUUUCUGCCAUCAGUAUCAACUUUAGCCCCGGGUGCCUUCUGCUCACUAGAUUUAAUGGUGCUAGCUUCUUCACUCGAUUCCUUUUUCUUGCAAUAAUCUUCACUUGCCUCUGGAUAUGGCACGAUAUGGUCAUCACUAUCUUCAGCCUCACCCCAUAUUAUGUUCGUAAGCUGAAAAGAUAGUGAGUAAGCAUCAUCACUAAAUGUGGGAUACAUGAGAAGAAUGAAACAGUCACAAGUUAAUCUCUGGGUAACUUGGCAAGACUAUUUUCCCCAACAUAAUAUUCUGAAUAAUACACUAAUUAAUCAGUUCAGUUCCUUGUAAGGUGUGCGUGGGCACAUAUGAGCACACAUGUGUGUACGAGAGUUGCUAGUGUCAAUGAGUUGGGAACAAAAUAUUUAAUUGAGUCAUGCAGAAAAUACUAAAAUGUUCUAAAUUGUGUUAAAAAUAAAAUAGAAAGUAGAAGCCAUUGGCAUGAUUCAUUUAAAAAUUUCUACAAAAUUAAAAAAAGAAAACAAAACAAAAGGAGGAGAUGGCCCAAAGCAUGCUCUCAAUAAGAUGAAGUAAGACCUAAAGCUUCAUUGCAUGUACAGAGCACUUUGGAAACUUCAGUCUGGACAAAUAAAACCAAGGCAAAGUAUCUUCUUUUUGGAACUAAUUUCUUCACAGUAAGAUAUAACAUCCAACGCUACCUGCAUCACUUUCUCAUGGUCCUCUCUGACUCGAGUGAUCAUAAACCUUCUCAAAUCCCAUUUAAAGAAGAUUCCCUUUCUCACUUUUCGUUGGUAUUAUUUGACACCAAGAUCACAACCAAACAUUACCAAUAAGUGUGUCACCGGAGAAAGAAACUUAGGUGCCCUAAUACCAUAAAUAAAACCUAUUCAAUAAAAAUUAGACAAUAUUUUAUAGCUGUACAUCUAUAAUCAAAGUAAAAUGCCCAAAACUCUGAAUCCUGAAUAUGUGAAUCAAAGUAAAAGGCCCUAACUGAUGCACCAUCAGCAGUCUCCUACUUUGACUUGUGAUUAAUGACCUAGCAGUUCACUUCAACAACAUUAGUGAACAUAAGUUUGAAUUUCAGACCCAGCAAGAAGAAGUACAUUUUCCAGUAGGCAUGCAUAUCACCUUUUUAUCAAUAUCCAUGGAAGACAAACCAAGCAAUAUCAAGUUUUUUUCUGCUGGAUAUCCAAUAAAAAAUACCUCAUAGUGUGAACAUCUUUAAGAAGGAGGAUAUCACAUUGCACCCCAUCAACUGAUCCACAAAUAAAUUUGCAUCUUUCCAUCAGUUCCAAGCUCUUUGUAAGGAAAAGGGAGGGAAGUGCCUUCAAAGAUACCUUCUUCAUAGCUUCUUUAGAUAUGAAUCCACACGGCUUUCGUAAUCACCAAUCACUAUGCGCAGCUUCUCUUAUCAUCACAAGCUCCAUCUCUUUCCACGUCCUAACUUCAUUCGAUGAACUCUUCCCUCAGUUCCCAAGAAAAAUUAUAUUCAUCCCUCCUGCAGCCUUUUCCCUGCAUAUUUCCACCAGCUUCAUAGCUAUAUGGCCUGUGAAAACUGUCGUUGUUGCAGUGAUUCUGAACAACAAAAAUAACAAAGGAUAAUGCUUGUGUUUAAGAAGAGAUUGAUGAAUGAAAAGCUUAAAUACUUUAUUCAUAACUGCAGCUCAAUUUAUAGAGCUGAUACAUAACAAACUCCUACGAUCAUGGUCCUACAUUCAAGCCAUGAUCAAUUGAUAAUGGAAAUAACAGAGCUGCGAAAUAGCAGCAAGAACAAGAGAAUAGGAACAGAAUUGACUAAAUCAAAAAUUAAAGAAAGAAUAAAAUUCCAGCUCAGCAGUCCUGAACAUUAUUUCUAACACUCCUCCUUGUUUAGGAGCUGCAAACUCCCAACUUUGUUCUCAGAAAUUCGAAUUUGUUGACUGGCAGUGGUUUGGUGAAAAUAUCAGCUGCUUGUUCUUCAGUUUUGCAGUAAAUAAGAAUGAUACUCCAAUCUUUCUGCACCUCUCUCAAAAAGAAUAAUUUGAUGUUGAAGUGCUUGGUUUUCCCGUGAAACACAGGAUUAUUAGAGAUGGAAAUGGCAGCUUGAUUGUCAACUAGAAUUUCUGUGCUUUCCUUUUGCUCCAGGUUAAGAUCAGAUAAAAUUUUCCUCAGCCACAAAGCUUGAUUGACAGCAGCUGUUGCAGCCACAAACUCAGCUUCAGCAGUGGAUUGGGCUACGGUUUCUUGCUUUUUUGAAUUCCAUGAAAACACACCAGAACCUAAAGAGAAACAGUAGCCUGAUGUGCUCUUCAAGUCAUCAAUUGAGCCUCCCCAAUCACUGUCAGAGUACCCGACCAGUUUGAACUCUCUACUUCUUGUGUAUCUUAUGCCAAAAUUGCAGGUUCCUUUGACAUAUCUUAUCACUCUUUUAGCAGCCUUGAAAUGCAAUUCACUAGCACAAUGCAUGAAUCUAGACAAGAUACUCACAGCAUUCAAAAUAUCAGGCCUAGUUGCAGUGAGAUACAUCAAGCAUCCAACAAUUUUUCUGAAUUGUGCUUGAUCAACCUUCUCGGCUCCAUCUUCUUUACAUAGCUUCUCCUUUUGAUUCAUAGGAGUGCUUACUGCUUUGCAAUCUUCAAGUUUGAACUUUUUGAGGAUUUCUUUGGCAUACUUCUUCUGACAUAUGAACACUUCAUGUUCAGCUUGCUUAACUUCCAUUCCAAGAAAAAAGGACAUCAAACCCAAAUCUGUCAUCUCAAAUACACUCAUCAUCUCUUGCUUGAACGUCUCCACAUUAUUGUUGUUAUUUCCUGUUACAAGCAAAUCAUCAACGUAAAGUGAGAUGAUAAGGAUGUUAUCACCAUUUUGCUUGAUGUAAAGAGUCGAUUCAGAGAGGCUUUUAGUGAAUCCCAAGUGCUGCAAAUGUUCAUCGAUUCGGCUGUACCAAGCUCUUGGAGCUUGCUUCAAUCCAUAUAGUGCCUUCUUAAGAAGACAGACUUUGUCCUCCUCUCCUUCAUUUGCAAAGCCUUCUGGUUGCUCAGUAUAGAUCUCCUCCUGCAAAACACCAUUUAAAAACGCUGACUUGACGUCCAUUUGAUACACCUUCCAAUUCAGUUGUGCUGCAAUGGCAAGUAGCAGCCUGAUAGUGUCAAGUCUUGCUACCGGUGCAAACGUGUCUGAGUAGUCCACGCCAAAGAUUUGUGCAUAACCCUUCACCACUAGCCUGGCUUUGAGCUUAUUGAUUGAGCCAUCAGCGUUGAGUUUUGUUCGAUACACCCAUUUUACACCGAUUACAUUUCUGUUUUGAGGUCUGUCAACCAACUCCCACGUGUUGUUUCUCGUGAUCAUGAGAAGCUCCUCCUUCAUCGCAGCAAGCCAAUUUUGAUCUAGCUUGGCUUCUUCAAAGUCUGCUGGUUCACACACAGCAAUGUUGCACCUUUGAUACACAUCAAGGAGUGACCGUGUGCCUCUAACAGGAGUGUCAUCUGUCAUGUUGAUGUCCCAAUCUUCCAUGCUUUGAUCAUCUGUGUCUGAAACAAGAUAAUUGCCUUUUGGAGAGGCUGAAUCUUCUUUGAUUGCAUCGUUCCAAUCCCAUUCUUCAUCUUCCAGGAAUUGGACAUCUCUGCUUAUAACGAUUUUUCCAGUUUGUGGCUGGAAAAUCUUAUAAGCCUUUGAAACUAAGCUGUAGCCAACAAAAAUGCCUGGAAGUGCUUUCUUGUCAAGUUUAUCCCUCUUGACCUGUGGAACAAGGGUGAAGCACAAACAUCCAAAUACCUUAAGAAAAUUCAGAGAUGGUUUGUAACCAUACCAUGCCUCAAAGGGUGUUUGAUCCUUCAAGGCUCUUGUAGGCAGUCGAUUUUGCAAGAACACAGCAGUGUUUGCAGCCUCUGCCCAGAAUUUCUUUGGUAAAUUCUUCUCAUGUAGCAAGCAUCUUGUCAUUUCCAAUAUGAACUUGUUUCGCCUCUCACUAACUCCGUUUUGCUGAGGAGUAUACGGAGUUGUUAGCUGAUGAUGAAUGCCUGCCUCCUCACAAAAAACGUUGAAGGCAUUGGAAGUGUAUUCCUUGCCAUUGUCUGAUCUGAGGGCUUGAAUUUUGCAGCCACUUUCAUUUUCAACUUUGGCCUUGAAAUUCCAGAACACCUGUGCUACCUCUGACUUGUGCUUCAAGAAGAAAAUCCAGCACAUUCGGCUGUAAUCGUCAAUGAAGACAGCAUAAUACAGACUCCCAUUUAGAGAGAGUGUCCUUUGUGGUCCUGCAAUGUCAGUAUGAAUCAAUUGCAGCUUCCUUGUUGCUCUCCAUGUGGCUUCUGGAAAGGGCUUCCUGUUUAGCUUGCCAGUGUGACAAGUUCUGCAGCUGGAUAUGUGAUCAUCAAGUGCUGGGAAAUCCUUAGCCAUCAUCUUGGAUUUCAUAAGCAUCAGCCCUCUAUGAUGAUAGUGCCCGAGCCUCUUGUGCCAAAUAUCUGUGAUAUUUUCUUUAAUUGGGAAAGCAGUAUGCUCCUCCUCCAAUGGAUUUAGAGCAAAACUCUUCCCUUUCAUGAUUAUUUUGAAAAUAUCAUGACCAUUCACAUCUUUGAUCAAGCAGCAAUUGUUUUCAAACACUACUUUAUAACCCUUCUCAAUAAGCUGACCAACACUGAAUAAAUUUUGAUUUAUACCAGGGACAUACAAUACAUCAGAGAUGAACUUAGUACCUGAGCAAGUCAAGAUUGCCACGGUUCCCUUUCCUUCAACAACAAGGUAUUCUCCAUUUCCAAUUCGAACCUUUGAAGUUGUUUGUUUCAGCUCCUUGAAUAUGUUUCUGUCAUGUGUCAUGUGGUUGGUGCAACCACUAUCAAUGAGCCAGCUUUCACUUGAGUCAUUUCUGGAAAUGCAAGUGGCCACAAACAAUUGAUCUUCUUCUUCUUGAUCAGCAAUUUGAGCUUCUUCACCAUGCUGUUGAAUUUUGUUUUUGCAGAUGACAGCCUCGUGCCCCAUUUGAUUGCAUUUGUUGCACUUAGCUUCUGGUCUUCUCCAACACUUAAAAUGUGGAUGUGAUCUCCUUUUACAAUGCUGGCAUGGAGGAAAAGGUCCUUUUUUGUUUCCAGUGUUGCUCCUUGUUGAAAUUCCUGGAAUCACCUGAUGAUGCUUGACUGCUUCCAUUCUUCUUGUAAUUCUUUCCUUUUUCUCUAUGCUUGACGAAUAGAGCUCCUUCAAUCUCAUCUUCCUGUCUCAUGAUCCUCCUUUGCUCCUGAGCUUGUAAUGCAUUUAGCAUUUCUGUCAAAGUAAUUUUUGACAUAUCCUUGGUAUUUUCCAAGGAUGUAAUUGUAGCUUCAAAGAUUUCAGGAAUUGUUACAAGAAUUUUUUGAACAAUUCUUGACUCAGGCAGGGACGAGCCAAGUAAACUGAUUCGGCUUGCAAUAUUAAGCAGCCUGUCAGAGUACUCUUUGAUGGAUUCAGUCUUCUUCAUCUUCUGCAACUCGAAAUCACGCAUCAAGUUCAACACUUGCAUACCUUGAAUUCUUUCAUCCCCUUCAUACUCAGUCUUGAGAAACUCCCAUAUCUCCUUUGCUGUUUUCAGAGACAUGAUUCGAGUGAAAAUGGUGGAUGCUACUACAGCAAACAAGCACGCCUUUGCCUUUGAUUUUUUUGUCUUCUUCUCCUUCUGUGAUUUGAUCUGCACCAUGGUGGGAUUGUUUGGAAGUGCAGGGAUUUCAUAAUCUUCUUCCACUGCCUCCCACAAAUCCAAAGCCUCUAAGUAUGUCUCUAUCCGUACUGCCCAAAACUGGUAAUUGUCACCAUUGAACACUGGUGGAGCAAUUGAUGAGAAGCUUACUUCUGUCUCCAUGGGUUACAACACAGAUCCCUUUAAAUCAAGAUGCUCUGAUACCAAUUGUCGUUGUUGCAGUGAUUCUGAACAACAAAAAUAACAAAGGAUAAUGCUUGUGUUUAAGAAGAGAUUGAUGAAUGAAAAGCUUAAAUACUUUAUUCAUAACUGCAGCUCAAUUUAUAGAGCUGAUACAUAACAAACUCCUACGAUCAUGGUCCUACAUUCAAGCCAUGAUCAAUUGAUAAUGGAAAUAACAGAGCUGCGAAAUAGCAGCAAGAACAAGAGAAUAGGAACAGAAUUGACUAAAUCAAAAAUUAAAGAAAGAAUAAAAUUCCAGCUCAGCAGUCCUGAACAGUAUUUCUAAUUUCUGCUGGAUAUCCAAUAAAAAAUACCUCAUAGUGUGAACAUCUUUAAGAAGGAGGAUAUCACAUUGCACCCCAUCAACUGAUCCACAAAUAAAUUUGCAUCUUUCCAUCAGUUCCAAGCUACUUUGUAAGGAAAAGGGAGGGAAGUGCCUUCAAAGAUACCUUCUUCAUAGCUUCUUUAGAUAUGAAUCCACACGGCUUUCGUAAUCACCAAUCACUAUGCACAGCUUCUCUUAUCAUCACAAGCUCCAUCUCUUUCCACGUCCUAACUUCAUUCGAUGAACUCUUCCCUCAGUUCCCAAGAAAAAUUAUAUUCUUCCCUCCUGCAGCCCUUUCCCUGUAUAUUUCCACCAGCUUCAUAGCUAUAUGGCCUGUGAAAACGACUCCCAAAUUAAAACACUUGAGAAGCUCUAAUAGUUUUCUUAUUAUUUCUUCACUCUUUGUCAGUGUGCCACAUUCAAAUACUACUGAUCGAUUCUUCCUCGUCACAACCACUCACUUUCCCCUAAAUCCCAUACCAACUAAAUCAAUAUCUCUUAUCACUUAUCAAAACUCCAUCUAAUUUCCAAAUGAAUCACACCAUUUGAACACUUUGCCAAUUCCUAAUUCCUUCAAAAUUUUCAUCCAUCAAAAAAAAAACUGCAAGUCAUACUUUUUCACUCUAACACAGUUCUCCUUAUAAUCAAUCUUCCAAUUUAACCAUACUCUUGCCUCUAAAUCUGGCACGCAAAGCUUCUACAUAACCUUCCAACGUUACUUCUUGCCUCCCAACAAGGGUGGAGGCAUGCAUGGGCUAGGGUGGGCUCUAGCUCAGGUGAAGAUUUUAUUAAUAUUUUUGUUCUAGUUUUAUGUAAAGAAAAUUUGUAAUUCUCAAUUUACGUGGAGCCUUCUAAUAUGAUGCUUUAACUUGAGUUAAAAUUUUAUAAUUUUUGAAGAAAUUCAGAAAUUUGAUAAAAAACAAAAUCAUAAUUUGACCAAUUUUAUGUUAUUGGGUGUAAUUUUCAAUCUGACCAUCAGAUUGAGCUAAAAUUUUACAAGGAAUCUUAAAAUAUAUUAAAUAAAAUCUGGUUUAAAUUUUAAAAUGAACAGAGUUUGGUAGUGCUAACAAAAAAAACAUCAAAUAAAAGCAAAAUGACUCAUUAAGGGUAAAAUUGUUAUUUGCCAUAAAAAAAAAUCAGUUCUUCCUUCCUUUAUAUGUUGCUGACUGGGCAGAAACAAAAUAGAAAAUGAAAGAAAAGAAAAGGCGAGAGAAAAAGAGAGAAAAGUAAGGGAAAAACAUAAAAAAAAUCCUAGAAAAAAAGAUAAGAAAAGUGAGAAAAUAACCUUAUAAACUUAUAAAGUCCAACUUAUAAAAUAUUAAUCUAAGGAAGAAGCAAGUGAAGGAAGGAGGAAUUGAGAGAGGGAAAAAAUUUAAUUAUUUUAUUUUUCAGUUGACAUGAGAUUGUUAUUUUAUCCCGGUUAAGGGAUUGUUAUAAUAUCAAUUCAAAUUCGAUUAUAGAUGAAUUAUAUUUCACAAAACAUCGAAAGAUGUAACUUUAAUAGUGAGUUUAUUUUUACUUUCACUUUAAUUUUAUAUAUUUUUAAAUUUAUUUUUUAAUAUUUUAGGUAAUGUAUUUGAAUUAAAACUUUACUAUUAACUUUAAAAACUCAUGUACAUUAAUUAAUAAUUUAUCUUAAAAAAAAUAUUAUAUAUUUAUUUAAUAGUGCAGGACAGAAAAAAAAUCUAGCAAAAUUUAUUCUUUCCAACUUUAUUUGUUUUGACUGAAAAAUAAUCUUUUAUUUUUGUACUUCACAGGCAUGUGGUGGCAAAAGUCGAGCACGAUAUAUAUAUAUAUAUAUAUAUAUUUCUUAAGAUACAUAUGGCUGGUGAUUGGCGGAUGAUGGUGUCAUUAAGACUCUUGGUGUGUACCCUCAUCCUUUCUGUUUAUAGUUUAGUCCAUUUGCAGCUUUAAUGGCUACUAUCAGUUGCUUUGGAACCUGAUAUCACUAGUCUCAUUAUGGUACAGACAAGCUCAGGAUGAUCAAUCCUUGAGAAUCCACAUCCAACCAGAAAUAAACCGAAUUUCGAGCAUAAAUGACUCGAACUCGCUGGAAUGCUUUGGCACCUCCUUCAAUCCUAGUUUGGGAAACAGAAACACUAUCACCGUUAGUUUUCACCGAGGAAGACAGCACCCCCAUUCUCUCCUGCUGUGCUGAUGAUGGGGCAUGAGAGAUAGUCCAAAGGAUUUGCCUCACGUUGAAGUAUGCAACUGUCUAUGGUUAGCCUUCUCUUUUGUGAUGCAAGCAGCAACCAAGCUCUGCCUUCACUGCAUAAAGAAAUGAUUGAUUCACGAAGCCUGACUUCUUUGAAUUUGAAAGAUUAGAAUCAUUGGAAGAGAAAGAAGAAAAGGUGUAAAUGACAGCGGAAUGCUAUUAUACCAUCUGCCAAGGUAAUGCCAAGUCUACUUGCGAGGUAUUUAUAUCAUAAUUUUUAAAUAUUAGAUUGUCAGCGCAUACCAAGCAAAGAGCUUCGAUUCACAACGAAAUGAAUCCGUGCUAUGGGUUAUCAUCUGAUAUCAUCAUUCAUCAACAAUUAAUCGAAUGGGUUUAUACAUGAAAUGUUUUUAGUUUCUUAAUCAAUAAUUGAAGUUUUUAAUUGGAAGUCAAAUUAUUCUUAGAGAAUAAUAUAAUUAAACUAAACCUUGGUUAAUUGAUUGCUAGCAAAGGUGUACAUUUACAUGGCUUGAAAAUGAAGCUUAUCUUCCAUUUAAUUUUAUCAAAUAAAUUAUUUAUAGAGUAGUUUUGAGUGAUAUAAAUCAAAUAGGAAUUAAAUCAUGUUAAAACAUUUAAUUUUGUUGUCCCUUUAUAUUACAAACAGCAACAUUACGUAUCAUGUUUAUAAAUUCCAAACCACUCAUUUGAAACUAACGCUUUGUAUUUUUUUUAUAAAAUAAAAUAAAUCCUAACACUGAUGUGGACUAAAAUGUUUUUCAUAUAAAAUAUGAGGAUCAAAAAACUUUCAUGAACAUUUAAAAUAUGAUGUGGACUAACAUUUUUUUUUUGUUAAAAUUAGUUCGGUUUGUACUUUCUAGAUCGUUUUGAUGUGCUGAUAUCAAAAAUAAUUUUUAAAAAAUAAAAAAAACAUUAUUGGCAUACUUUUCGGCACGAAAAGCUAUUUGAAAAACAACAACUACCACACUUCCAAACACCCUCACUUAGUAUAAAAAAGAAAUCAUCACGUCGUUAUUUUCCACUCAGUAUAAAAAAGAAAUCACACGCCUUAGAGGAUAAAUAAGCAAUGCGAAAGUUAAAUAAAUUUAUGAAUUACCAGCAUAAUUCACACUAAUUCCCCUCUCUAACUUGCACCUCAUCAAUUUUUAUUCCUUUACUCUCGAACGAAAAUAAUAAUAUUUAAGUUAUUAAACCCAACUCGAAUUAUAAUUCAAGUAGGGGGUUAACAUAAAUCAAUACAAAGUGAUAUGACUUUAGGAGUUUUUUCAAAAAAACAAAUUAAAAUGAUGUGAACUUUUUUAAAUUAAAUUGAGUUUUAAUUGAUCAAAUAAGUUGGAUUACACCAGGUCAAAUUCUAUCCGAUUUAAUUUAAAAUUCAAUCUAAACUCUUAACUUACCUUCAGUCGGGUUUAAUAACAUAUUGACGUAACUUUAGACAAGUUAAGACAUGUUAUUUGUAUAAUCAGACCAAAUUCUCAAUCUUUAUUUAUCAUAAUAACGAUCCAACCCAUUAAUUUUAAAUGGGCCUAUAAAAACUCUAACUUGCCAUAAAAUCAGCAAUUUUACAUCCUAUUUUAUAAAAGACACUCCAACAUAAUUAAUUAAAAUAGUAUUUGAUAUUGUGGUAAUAAUUAUUUUUUAAAGUAUUUUUUAUUUAAAAAUAUAUUUAAAUAAUUUUUAAUUUUUUAAUUUUAAAAAUUAAUAUUUGACAUUACAUAUUAAAACAAUCUAAAAACAUAAUUUUUAAAAAAAGUUAUUAUUAUUUAAGAAAAACUGUAUCACCAUACAAACAAAUCCAAAAACACAAUUUUUUUAAAACAAUUAUUAUUCUUUUAAAAAAAAUUGUAUCACCAUAAAAACAAAUAAUUUCUAAGAGUGACAGUGAGCAACAGAAAUAAACCAUGGCAGAAACUAAAAAUACCUUUAACGGAAACUGUGCUUCGAUUCACAACGUUUUCAUCCUUGACCAAUGCUUGACAGAGUAGACGACGGGUCAGAACAGAGCUACCAGUCCUGCAUUUCUCGAAGGAUAGUUUUGGAAAUGCUCUAAGACCGUGGCCAUUAUGCUGUGUAUGUUUGAUAAUGCAGUGAAUAUAAUUUUAUAAAAAUAUUUUUCAAUUAAUAAAAUAUUUCUUAAAGAAAUUUUCAAUAAUUUUGUUAAGAAAUUUGCGUGGCCAGACAUUUUAAAGAAUGAUGCUAAAUUUGGGGUUACAUAGGCAGCUGCUGGCUCCUCUUGUAUCUUUUGGGUUAAAGGCAUCGUUUGUUUCCUGCCGUUGUCUAUUCUCCGGUCGUAGAAGCUGACUGCAAUCCUCCGACUCUGUUCUCAUAGUCAGAUGCUUCCUCUGUUUUCUCCUGGCAUUAAAAUUACAGCUCACCCUCAAAUCUUAUUGCCUCUGGUCAUUUUCUUGAAUGGUGCUUGGUGUUGUCUUCUAGCGUUUGCAGUAUCGUAAUUUGCUGGAGUUUUUGUAGUAUUUGAAUUGUGGGUGAUUGAGCUGCAGAAUUUGUGCAAUUGAAUUGAAUUUGUGCUAUGGGUUAUCACGCGAUAUCAUCAUUCAUCAACAAUUAAUUGAAUGGGUUUCUACAUUAAAUAUUUUUAGUUUCUUAAUCAAUAAUUGAAGUUUUUAAUUGGAAGUGAAAUUAUUCUUAGAGAAUAAUAUAAUUAAACUAAAUCUUGGUUAAUUGAUUGCUAGCAAAGGUGUAAAUUUACAUGGCUUGAAAAUGAAGCUUCUCUUCCACUUAAUUUUAUCAAAUAAUAUAAUUUUGAAAUAAAUUAUUUAUAGUAGUUUUGAGUGAUAUAAAUCAAAUAGGAAUUAAAACAUGUUAAAACAUUUAAUUUUGUUAUACCUAGGUCCCUUUAUAUUACUAACAACAAUAUUAUGUAUCGUGUUUAUAAAUUCCAAACCACUCAUUUGAAACUAAAGCUGUGUAUGCUUUUUAUAAAAUAAAAUAAAUCCUAACCUUCAUAUGAGGAUUAAAAAACAUUCAUGAAAAUAUAUGAAAAGCUAUUUUUGUCUCUAUGGGCUAGGUACGAUGUAUUCAGGUAUGGAUAUGGGUCUGGGCUUAGGAUGAUAGAUAUGGGUCCAGUAGGAGCACGAUAUUUUUUAAUGGUAAGGAAUGAGCUAUGCCUACCAGGCUGGUUACUCGGUCCAUUCACCUCUCUACCUGAGGCUUGUAUAGUUUAUUGAAAAAAACAAACUUAUAUCGUUUCUUUUAGAAUUCAUUUCUUUAUAAAGCAUGACAAUGUAACCAAAUUUGCAUUAUCUAUAUAAAAUAAAAGAAAAUAUAUAUUUUCACAAAUUCUACCAUAUUGCUCGACCAAAAUAUUUAUUUUUUGUUUCUAUACAUAUUAUAAUUAGUUACAAAUAUAACACCCAAUUUAAUAAAAUCAUAUGAGCAAAAUUCCAGGACUUUCCAUGGACAAAACCCAAUUUAAUAUAUAUAUAUAUAUAUAUAUAUAUAUAUAUAUUUCUCUACAUAUUCAAUAUAUUCAUCUAAAUGUAUUUAUCUGAAUGCUAUAUUAUCUUAUAAUUUAACUGGGACCAAAGAUAAAUGAUAACAUUUAUUUAAAUGCUAUUUAUGAUUGACACACAAAACCCUGUUUUCAUAGUUAAUUGAAGGAUAAUAAAUGGAAGAAUGACAAAUUGCCAGGUGGAAAGUUAUACCUCAUCACAACAAAUACUUUCCAGCCAAUUAAUUAAUGGCGGUUACAACUAAUUACAACAAAUACUCUUCACUUCUUCUCUAUAGUUAUGUUAAUGGUAAGAAAAGGUUGGAUAUUAGAAUUUUGAAAAAUAAAAUAAAAGAUAAGUGAUGUUCAGAUUAGAACUUGAUAUUUGAUAUAAAAUAUAUAUUUUUUAAUUAAACUUUAAUAACAAGUCAUAAAUCAACUCAAAAAUAGUAAAUAUUGUAAAAAAAAAAUGGUAAUAUUAUACACAAAAAAAGAGACUCAUGAAAUGACAUAAAAAAUAGAAUUUUUGUAUAUUUUUAUCUAUUCAUGAACUUGAACAUGAUUUAUAUUUAUAUAAUCAUACAUUUUAAUUGGAAAAUAAUCAAUAAAGGAAGAAAGAAUCGACUUUAAACAAAUAAAAAGAAAAUAGAAGAUGAAAUAUAAAUCACGUAAGAAUUAAGUCUUCUCGAAGACUAGCUUAAGAGUAAGAAAGAGGCAAAAUCUAUAGGAAUUUAAUUAAUAAAUGUUUCAUGCGUGUUGUUUCGAAUUGUAUAAAUAUAAAGAAAAUACAUUUAUACAUAUUAUAUUAUAAUGAAUAUAUUUUUCUGUGCAAAAUUGUUAUUAUUUUUUCAAAUCAAACCCCCGGUUUGAGUAUUGAGCAUAAAAAGAAUUUGGAUUGUUGAAUCAUUUAAACAAUUAGUGGAUCGCCAAUGAAUCAUUUUAUUAAAAUGAUAUUUUGCUUUUUUAUAAAAAAAUUUAUUAAUAUUGAUUUAACUAAGUUUGUAUCAGAUUUUACCAAAUCAAAUAAAUCAUUACAAAUUCAAUUGAGUAAUUAAGAUUUUAUCUUAUCAAUGUUUUUUUCUAAUUCAAUUUUAAACCUGGUUAAUGCCAGGAUCUGGAGGAUGUGCUUCCUAUAUCAAAUCACCAUGCAGGGAAGAGUUUAAACAUUUUUCAUUUUUCCUAUAUCAAAAAAUUACAUUUCUUAGCAAAACACACGAGUUAUAUAUAUAUAUUUAAACAAAUUACAAAUAAUCUAAUCAAUUGAUUAAAGUUGUGACACCUUAUAGUACGUAGACGACUAUAUAAUACUAUAAGAUAUUUAACAAUAUUUAUUUUUAUGAAGAGUAAUAUGUUGCUUGUCUAUGUAAUUUCUCUUUUAAAUUGGGUUUAAUUUCAAAAUCAACGUGUAACUUUGUACGUAGGGGCAUGUCAUGGGCAGUGUUGGACCAAAUUCUCAAUCUUUAUUCAUAGAGGUGGAUCAUGAUCGAGAUUCGAGCCUAUUAAUUUUAAAUGGAUCUACAAAACCUCUAUUCGGCCAUAAAAAAUAAAAUCUCAGGUGCCCAUCAAUGAUAGGAUCUAUUUUGUAAAAGACAUUUCAACAGUAUUAAAAUAAUGUUUAGUAACGUGAUAUCUGAUAUUUUUAAAAAUAUUUUUUUAUUUAAAUUAUAUAUUUUUAAAAUUUAUAUUUAAUAUUAUUAUAUUAAAAUAAUAUAAAAAUAUAAAAAUAUAUUUUUAAAAAAAAUCUUGGUGUCAAAGUGAGUGAAUAAAAAAAAUAAAUCAUGGCAGAAACCACGAACACCUUUAACAGCAAUGUCGUUUCAGUUUGACAGAGUUGUGUUAAAAAAAAAAUUCCUUCAAUUUGUAUUGACUUUUUAAUGUUUUAAGUUUACAGUGCUCCUAUAUAUAAACAGAGAAGAUGUUCUUAAAAACUAUGGAUUCCUGCUAUAAACAGGACUUAUACAAAUGUGGAAUAAAUCAAUUACUAAACUAUGGAAUAGGACUUAUACAACUGUGGGAUAAAUCAAUUACCAAACUUUUUCUUACAAACUCUCAACUAAAUCACUUUGUAAUUAUACUAACACUUUGAGUCAAGUUAGUGCAAAGAUAUCUUACCCAACUUGUCAAGGGAGCUCUGAAAGUUUUUGCUGAAGACAACUUUUGUAAAGAUAUUCGUGAGCUGAUUCUUUGAUUUGACAAAUGAAAAGUUAAUCACUUAUUAUUUAAGAUUUUGUUUAAUAAAAUGUUUGUCUAUUUCAAUAUGUUUCGUGUGAUCAUGUUAAAUUGGGUUAUAAAAUAUUUUAAUGGCAGCUUAAUUAUCACAGUAUAGGUUCGUUCUUGAUUUGGGAGCAAAACCAAUUUCUGAUAAUAAUCUUCUGAGCUAAAGCAGUUUACGUAGUCCUUUUACCGUCCCUUGAAACUCAACCUCUGUGCUUGACAAGGUAGCUACUUUUUAUUUCUUGCUUCUCCAUGUGACUAAAUUGCCACCAAUAAACGUGAAGUAUGCUCAUUAAUCUCAUGCAUAUUUUGAUUAUUUUGUUGAAUAUUUUAAUCAGGUUUAUGAUAUGGAUUCUUAUAAUAAAAUUUUCAUUUAAUUUUUUUAUUUUCAUGGGGGGUUUUAAUGUAGGGAACAUAGGAAGUGUAAAGGUGGCAACUUUUUUGCUUUAUUUUAUACCGUAUUUAAAGCCAGUGCCUUUGAGGUUUUAUGGCAGCCCAUCAACAAUAUUCUUAGUAGGAUCUUAUCAUUUAUGGUACUAGCCUGUUGGGCCUCCCUUUUCAUUAUUUUAAGCGUAGUUGCCACCCAUCUUUCUGUGGCUCCAUGUUCAUUCUCCAAACCAUUCAUAUAGGUAUCUUAAAUAGUGUAGCUGGAGCUUUACUGGGUAUGCUUUUUAAUAUAUUUUUAAGUAAAAUAUAUUUUUAAAAAUAUUUAAAAAACAAACAUUACUGUACUUUCAAAAACAUAAUCCUCUUGUAUCUGACGCUUUAAAUUCCAACAAUGAGUUACUGAUUAGAUAAUAUCUACAUUCAAUUAAAAAUAUAAUUUCUUGACAGCGAAAUAAAGAAAAAAGUAGCAACCCUGUAAUAUCUAGGUAAUUUCUAUGCUCUUUAAAUUAGGCCUCUAAACUGAGACUGUAAUGAGCCCAUGACAGAGGAAGACAUGAAAGUGUAAUUUCAGAAGACCAUUAUUCAUAUAACAAAUUUAGUAAAUUUAGUAAACUCGUAAAGUUAAACCGAUUUUACUAAUUCUGUACUAGUUAGAUUUGAUUUUAUUAAUUUUAAAUUUUUAGUUAGAUUUAGUAUGUUAAAUAUAUAUUAACUUAAAUUUUACUAAUAACUCAUAAUUUUAACAACCUUGCUUGUAAUAGCUCUUGUGGUGGUUGAUGUUUAAAAAAGAUAAUUGAGAAAUUAUUUUCACUCGUGACUUUUUUGAUUUAAAUAAGUAUUGAAUUAAAAAUAUUUAAUUAAAAUUAUUGUUUUAAUUUAAUUACCACAAAAGAUACUGGUGAAGGUGGAGAGGAUGCAAAAGAUGAUUGGGUAUCCUAUUAAUCGUCAAAACAUCAACUAUUGUGGUCAAUUCUGCUGACUGCUGAGACUAAAAGCCAACCACUUGAAUAAUGGGCAUUAGCUGUUUAGCACUCCUUGGUAAACACUUCAGGCUCCUUUCCCGCCCCUUUCCUCGCUGGUUCCUUAAUAGCUUCAAGGGGUGCGAGCGCCUCGUUCGAGGAUUGAGCAUAAAGGACUAAAAGAGUUCAAUAAAUACUAAAAGACAUAAAGUGAAGUUUUUAUAAUAUUCAUAGCAAUGGUCAUCAGCUAAUUUAUAAUUUAUUUAUCUACUUUAUCAAUGAAAUAAAAGUGAUAAAAGAAAAGGAGAGAAGAAAUAAAGUGAAGUCUUCUUCUGCAUUAUUAGCACAUCACGUGAAAAUAAAGAAUGGCAUAUAAUAAAAGUUAUUCCAAUCAAACCUCCUUUUUCAACCGAUGGGGUCUCUUGUCAAAUAAAGCAAGGACAGACCGAGUAAGAUGUGGGACCUAACUGCACUUUCCUGGCACGCGUAGUUCACGCAUACACAAGCACAUUCAGAAUAGUAUUCAAUUUAAAAACACAAAAAAAAAAUAAAGGAAUAAAAGAAGGAAAAGUGAUCAAAGAAGAAGAGAGAAGAAAUAAAGUGAAGUCUUCUUCUGCAUUAUUAGCACAUCACGUGAAAAGAAAGAUACAAACAAGAUUACUCCAUUUUCCAGUCACUUUUUCAACCGAUGGGGCUUCUUGGCAAAUAAAGCAAGGACAGACCGAGUUGAUGCGCUACGUAACUCCUUUUUCCUGGCCCGCGCAAUUCACGCAUACACAAACACAUCCAGAAUAAUAUUCAUAAAAUUAAUUAACAUCCCGUAAAAAUAUACUUUAAUUUAGAAAAGAUUUUAAAAUGUUAUUUUUCAAAUUAAUAAUAACAAAAUUUUAUAUUAAAUUGGUUCGCUUAAGUUAACCUAUUAGAUUUAUAAUUCAGGUUAUGAAAUUAUAAUACCUAGUUCACAAAUAACCAAAUAUGGUGAAGUUUUUCCAAUCAAACCCUUUUUUUUUUUUAAGAUGUAAUUUCUAGAAAAAUAAAUCAAAGACAAACAGAGUAAAAUUUCAAAAAAUAGAGAAAGAUGGAAAAUCCCACCAAUAUUUAACCCACUUAAAUUGAGUCCAAAUCAUAAAAGCAUCUACAAAGAGUGUGUUAAAUGAAAAGUUAAAAAUUAAAAAAUAUAUAAUUUUGACUCUUUCAUGUUUAUUUUACACACUUCAAAAAAAUAUUAAAUAAAAUAUUAAAAUAUUUUUUUUUCUUAUAAAUACUAUUUCUAAAUAUCUAUCAAAAAAACCAAUACUAAAAAAAUAGAGUCAUCAAAAAAUAAACCAAUUAAAUAUAAUUAUAUGAAAAAAUAUAUUUUAAAUAGUGCAGCCUGAGCUUAAUGGUUAAAAUAAUUUUAUAUUUUUUAUAAUUGUUAACAUCAACACAUUAAAAUCAUUAAAAAUAUUAAAAAAUCAAUAAUUUAAUAUAUUUUUAAAUAAAAUAUAUUUUUUAAAAAAACAUAUAAAUUACUACUAUUAUUUCAAACACACAAUCCUAUUCCAUCUUAAAAUCUGAGCUAUUAGGAUAGUAAAGUUAAUUCGUUAAAUUUACAAUUGUGGUGGUGGGAUAUUAAAAAAAAUCUUAUAUUAAAAUUAAAAAUUUUAAAAAUUCUUGAAUAAAAAAACAACAAAACAAUUAUUCAGGUAAUUGUAUAAAAUAUAAUAAUAUAAUGUAUAAUUUAUAAUUGAUUUAUUUACCUUAUCAGUCUUCUGCUGCAUGAUCACAUCACGUGAAAAGCUUGGCAUUUAGUGAUGUUUUUCCAAUCAAACCUCCUUUUUUCAAAGAUGGAAUCUCGAGGUAAAUAAAUCAAAGACAAAACCGAGUAAAAUGGAGUCCAGAGCAUAAAAGAAUCUCCAAUGAAGCUGCUAAAUGAAUAACUAAAAAUAAUAAUAAAAAAAAAAUUGUUUUUGUUUGUUUUUUAUAUUUCAAGAAGAAAAUCAAAUAAAUCGUUAAAAUAUUUUUUUUUCACAUAAAUAUUAUUUUUAUAUAUCUCUCAAAAAAAUCAAAAUUAAUAAAAUAAAACCAACAAAAAAAAGCCAAUUAAAUCUAGGUAUCUAGAAAAAAAUAACUUUAAAAUCAUUAAAAAAAAAAAAUGUUUAUUUAUUUCACUUUAUCUCGAAAAACAGUAACUUUAAAAUCAUUAAAAAAAAUAAAAUGUUUAUUUAUUUCACUUUAAUAGAAUUGGCUUUUCAAUGUAUUUUUUCUAUUGGAAUAUAUAUUGUAAAAAAAAUAUAUUUAUAUUAUUUAAAAUACUAUUUUAUUAGUUUAUUUUUUUAAAAUAAUAUUUUUUAUUAAAGAUACUCCAACAAGGGCCGAGAGAGCAAAGGCUUUUACGAGUUCUGUGUUCCGUAUACUUCUCAAGGGGAAAAAAAUAAUGUUUUGUUAGAGAUUUGUUUUUGAUAGAAUUGUUAGCGAUCUUAGCCGAUGCAUCUGGAUUAUAAUUUUUAGCAUUUAUACUAUUUUAUAGCGCUAAUAUCUUAAAAAAACUUAUUUUCUAGCUUUUUUUUCAUGGUAUAAUAAAAUAUUAAAAAAUAUUUUUCAACUCAUUAUCCUUAAUACAAUUAAAUUUCAUAGAAUAGUCUAUUUUUUAGAAAUAUAGUUUACUAUGAGAUUUAUUGGAUAAAAGAAAUUCACUUUGUAACAAUGCACUAGAAACUAAAAAAAAAUAAGCUAAUGAUCAUUUAAAAAUAUAGUAUAUUGGAAUCAUCUUGCUGAAUAGGUGAGUUUGGGAGUUUGGUUGCUUAACAGGCGAGUGAGGGUUAAAUGUAUCCAAUUAAAUAAUAUCUACAUUCAAUUAAAACUUAUGGUACAAUUACUUGACAGCAAAAUAAAGAAAAGCAGGAACCCUGUAAUAUCUAGGAAAUUUCUAUGCUCUUUGAAUUAGGUGCCCAAACUAAGGCUAUAAUGAGCCCUGAAUUUACACAGAAGAAAUUUCAUGGGAAAUGGGUUGAUGUCAGAGGCAGACACGGAAACGUAAUUUCAGAAGACUAUGACUCAAAUCAGUGGCUGAAAUCCAAUCACUCAAGGGAUGGUGACACGUUGUCUUGAGUGGGAGACAACUGGUCUUCAGUACAAAGAGAAACAACGUUUUUUUUUUAUUAUUAUUAUUAUUAUUAAAAGCGAGUGUACGAGUUACUUCCAUGUUUUUUAAUUAAUUUUAAAAUUAAUAAUUAUAUAAAUUUUUAAUAAUUAUAAAAAAGUUUAAAUUCAUGAAAAGAUUUGAAUUCAUAAUUAUUAAAAUACAAAUAUAUUUUCCUGAGUGUCUUUGCUCUCGUGACAGCUCACGAUGGUGGGGGGUUUAAAAAAAAAUUUAAAAAAUAUUUUUACUUGUGAUUUAUUUAAUUUAAAUAAGUAUUUAAUUAUAAUUAUAAUUAACGAUAUAUUGUAACUAAAAUUACUAUAAAAAAGAACAUAGUGAAGGUGGAGAGGAUGAGAAUAAUGAUUGGAUAUCUUAAUAAUUGUAAAAAGAAAGUAUUUUUUUAUGGUGAAGUUAUUUGUAUAUGAGAAAAGACUGAGUUUUGUAGCUCAGAAAAAAUAAACAUGUUGAUAUUGCUUUUUAAUAACCCAUGAAUGGACCGUAAAUUGCAACGGGUUCACAAACACAAACAUGUGCUUCACAUGUAACCAAACUUAUUGUUAUCUGCAUUAAAAGCAAAAGAUGCUAAAAACACACACAUUUGAUCGUUGAAGAUGUUUUUAAAUUGUUUUCUUAAUUAUUUUUCAUUUAAAAAAAUAUGAAUCAAAGAAGUUUAAUAAUUAUAAUUAUUAAAUAUUUUGAAAUAAAAUGAUCCAUCUAUAUUAAAAAAAAACAUCAUUCCCACGUGUGGAAGAUAAAAUUAAUCAACCUAAUCUUAUUGGAUUGCAUUUUAUUAAAUCAAACCAUCAGUAUCUUUAAUGCAGGAUAUUUUUGUUUUUCCAAUUCAAGUAUACUUUUUAAUAUAAUAAAUUUUUUUAACCUAUUUUUUUAUUAUUAUUUUAGUAUCAUUUUGUUAUUUCUAAUAGUUUGUGGUUACCAGUUUAGUCCUGAAUUCAUUAUUAGAACCAUCAAUUUUAAAAAUCAAUGUAAGUUGAUUUUUAUUAUUUUUUAUUUUUUAAAAUUAAUUUAUUAAAAAAAAAUUCCAUGAUUUCUUUUUAAGAGACUAACCCUUCAUCGACAAACACUAAUGUACCCUGAAAAACAUAAUCUUAUUACAUCUGACGCUUUAAAUUCCAACAAGGAGCACCUACACAUCGAAAUAAAGAAAAGUACUGAGUGCCUUGGCGGUGGGAGGAGCUCUGCUCCUGAGUUCGAGUGUUUACAUGUAUAUCUAUCAUUCUCGUGGUGUUUUAUAUAUCUAUUGGGUUUAUAAAGUAUUCAGUGGGAUUAGUUGUGGUGCGCGCAAACUGACCCGAACAUCCAAAUAAAUAAAUAAAUAAAGUAGAAACCCUGCAUGUGGGAAAUUUUUGUUAGGCCUCCAAUCUGAGGCUGUAACGAGCCCUGGAUCUACACACAAGAAAUUUCAUGGGAAAUGGGUUGAUGUCAUAGGGAGACAAGGAAGCGUACUUUCAAAAGACCAUGAGACAAAUCAACGGCUGAAAUCCAAUCACUCAAGGGAUGGUGACAUGUUACCAUGAGUGGGAGACUGCUAGUCUCCAUCUAAAUGUUUAAAGAUGACUGGGUAUCUUAGUAAUUGUAUAACAAUUGAUUUUUUUUGCUGAAGUUGUCGGUGUGGAUGAGAAAAUACUGAGUUUGUAGCUUAGUAAAAACAUGUUGAUGUUGAUGUUACUUUUUAUUAGCUCAUGGUUGGCCCGUAAAUUAUAAUGGGUCCCACAAUCACAAACCUAUGAUUCACAUGUAAUUUAUGUUUUACAACUUAUUUUUAAAAUUAUUUUUUAUAUAUAUUUUUAUACCAUUUUUAUUUUAAAAAUUUUAAGUUUAAAAAAUAUUAUUUUAAUAUAUUUUUAAAUAAAAAAUACUUAAAAAAAAAAUUAAUAUCAGACACAGUGAAUGUUUUAUAAAAUUUUACAAUCGCUUUUACAUUUUGUUUAGAUCACAUUUGAAAAUGCGGUACACUACAAUAAAGUCCGUUAUAUGAUUAAGGGUAUGUUUGGUAUUGCGGUUGCUGUUGUGAUUGUAAUUAUGGUUUUAAAAAAAAUUGUUUUAUAAAAAGUAAUUUUAGUUGAGGUUGGUUUGAAAAAAUAUAUGUUUGGUUAAAACUGUAGUUGAAAUUGAGGUUGAACAAAAAAUAGUUUAAUGUGUUUGGUUAAAAAAAUGUUUUUCAAAUUGAUGUUAUAAAAUCAUUAAUAUAUAUAUAUACUAAUAUUAAUUAUUUUUAAUUUAAAUAUUGUAGAUUUAACUACUGUUAUUACAUCAUGAAAUAAAUAAUAUUAAUAUCAAAUAUUUUUUAUUAUUAGAUUAAAAUAUAUGUAAUCUCAUUACAUAUGAAAUCUAUCAAACAAGGACUAUAUUUUUCAUGGUUUCUUAAGCGUGCAACAACAAAAACUGAUUUUUUAAAUUUAUAUAGUGUUAUUAAAUAAUAAAGAUUGUGAUAUAUUUAUUAUUGAAAUUGCGAUCAAAUUUCAUAAAUGCUACGUCAUCAUGCGAUAUCUUUCUAAUUUAUAUAGUGUUAUUAAAUAAUAUUAAAUACUAGUUUUUCGAGUAAAACAAUUUAAAAAAAUAUAUAUAAUUUCACUACGUACAAAAGUUAUUCGACAAAAACUACAGUUUUCAUGAUUUUUUGAGCAUGUAAUAAAAUUAGGUAAAAUAUUAUCACGAAUAAAAUUGAGAUUACAGUACGAGUAAAUUUAAUUCACCUUAAACUAAUUUUUUUAAAAAAAAUAUCGUUUACUAUUAACUGCACUGGUUUUUUAGGGGGGAAAAUAAACUUUGCUCACCGGUUUUUUUUUUUAAAAAAAUAAAUAAAUAAACUUUUCUUACAGAUUUUUUCUUUUUUUAAAAAAAGAAGACAUGGUGACAAUGGAGCCAUGCUCCACUGUUAAGUGGUUGUUACCCACGAGAAGCAGUAAAAAUAACGUGGACCCUAUCAAGCAAAAUCAAUCUUGCUUGAUUACCAAACAUUAAAAUAUGUGGCUGCGAGUAAACUCGCCACACUACCAAACAACAUCUAAAGUCUUUAAUUGUCUUGCAUUUAUCUUUAAAACUGCUAUAAGAAUUAAUUAAUUGUGUCAAUUCAAUUCUUUCGAUUGACAUUGAUGCCAAACAUGUUAAUUCAUGAUAUAAUUAAGCAAUUCAAUACAAAUUUACUAAUAUAAUUUAUUUCGGCUUAAACCUUUGAAUAAAGCAAAAUGCAGAGGUUGUGAAAGUGAAAUACCUUAAUAAUUUUUAUGCUUUACAACUCUAGGAGCCACACAAAAUAUAAUGCGUUUGUUACUAUUUAUUUGUUAAAAAGUAUUUUUUUUAUUAAAAAAUGAUUUUUUAAAAAAUAAAUUGAAAAAUAUUUUUUAAUAUUUGAUUAUUUUAUAUAAAACAAGCCAAAAAAUAUUUUUUUAAUUUUCUUCUCAAAUUUAUUAAAAGAAUAAGAAACAAAUAUUUCAAAUAAAAAUAUUGAAGGAAGAUGAAAUUAAAAAAUAUAUAUAUUUUUAUAAAUUAUUUUAAAUAAAAUAAAUAAUAAUUAGAAGAAUAAGAAACAAAUGAAAAAUUAAAAAAUUAAAAAAAAAUAAAACAGAAAUAAAUAAUAAUCAAAAUAAAAAAUUAAUACAAAAAUAAUAUUAAACCAAUAAUUUAAUUUAAAAAAAAACAAAAUAUAAUUUAUAAUUUAUAAUUUAUUUAUUUGCUUUAUCAAUGAAAAGUGAUGGUAGGAGGGAGAGAGAGAGGAAAUAAAGUGAAGUCUUCUGCUGCCUGAUCACAUCACGUGAAGAGCUUGGCAUUUAGUGAAGUUUUUCCGAUCAAACCCACUUUUUUCAAAGAUGGAAUUUAUUGGAAAAUAAAUGAAAGACAAACCGAGUAAAAUGGAGUCCAGAGCAUACAAGAGCCGAGAUUGAAACAGGAAAUGCAAGAAAAAGAAGAUGGGCCCUUGUUUUCUCUUUUUACGGCCGGCGACCGGAUAUAAAAAGGGAGGAGAUGAAGCUUUCAAAUUAUUUUCAAUUUUGCGGUCACUUAUUGUGUCCAUGUCAUUUUGUGUAAUUGCCCAGCUACCGGUACUAUUUUAACACUGUUAAAAGUCUAAAUCAUCAAUAUUUCCCCAAUUUAUCUCUAAAAAAAAUUCACUUCAAUUAAUAGCAUUUUUUUAUUAUUUCUUAUGUCAAUGUUUACCUCUUUUUGAUAAACUCGUAUAUUUUUGUACCAGAGGUCUAAAAUUAUUCUGUCCACUUAUUACUUAUUUAAAUUUAUUAGAAUGUUUUAAAUAACUUUUUUAAAUUUUAAUCCCAGAGUUUACAUGCAUAAUACAUGAGUUAUAUAAAUUAUGAUUCAAAAUAUUGUUAUAACUAAAUUAAAAGAAAAAUUCAGAGUUAAUUUCUUGAAUAUUAAGUUUUCUGAUUUUUCUAUAUAAUUAAUUUUUUAAGUUGAUUUGAUUAGUAUUAUUAUACUUUUCUCAUUCUCGAUAAAAGAAAAAAGAAAAAACCAGAAGAGUAUUUUCUUUCUAUUGAAAAUAUUUGUGGUUAGAAGAAAGUAAUUUUCACUGGAGUGUCGUUUUGGGAUGCAACAUGAACUUGACCUGUCUAAUUUGUACGGCAUGAGAAGAUGUUGCUUUACAUGGCUUCCUCCUUAAAAAAAUUCCAUCACAUUUGAGAAUUUUGUUAUAAAAAAGAUAUCUCUUUUAAAGAAGAAAAGUGAUACCUAAAAUUUAUAAAUGAUCUAAACUCUUAAUUUUUAAUCGAUGUAAAAUGUUAGAGUAUCAUGUUCCUGAAAAAAUCUUUCUAAGUGUAUAAUAUGUUGCAUUUGGGGCAAAAUUAAUAGUUUUGAAUGUUUUUAUUACUGAAACUUUUUUUUUUCUCAACCUCUUUUUCUCUCUCUUCUUGUCAAAUACAAAAGGUUUUUUUUUUAAUUUUUUAAAUAAUUUUAUUUUUAUUUAUUUUAUUUUUAUCUUUUGUAGAUUUGUUUUUUUAUUUAUUUUGUUUUUUAUCGUUUGAUUUUAUUUAUUUUUUUAUUAAACAUUAACUUUAUUUUUAUUUAUUAUUUUUUUAAUUAAACAUCCUUUUUAAUUUAUCUCUUAAUAUUUAAUUUUAAUAUCAAAUUUAAUUAGUCCUAUUUUAUCUUACACUUUAAAUUCCUACAAGUACCCGAUCAAACAAUAUCUGCAUUCAAUUAAAACUUAUGGUACAAUUACCUCAUAGCGAAAAAAAAAAAAAAGUAGAGACCAACUAAGAAAUUUAUGUGCUGUUCCCAGCUAUGUUGCUGACAUUGGACAAGAGAGACUUCUUCAGCCACCGAUAAAAUUAUUUUUGUUGACUUUUUGUGCAGUUUGUCACUUUGCUUCGAUCUUUCUCUCUUUGCACCACAAACACUUGGACAUGGUAGAUACCAAGCACGGUUUUGCUGUCAAUGUACGAUACCAUAUUUGACAAUAUCUUUUUUUUUCUUUUUUCUUUUUUAUGAAGAGUAGUAUGUUGGUUAUCUAUGUAUGUUUUUUAAAAAAUCACAUAUAUAUUUAUCUAAAAUUAUUGAUAUUUAAAAAAUUACAUUAUUUUUUUAAUAAUUCGUUCCGCUGUUCUUUUAGAAUUAAGCGAAUAUUAUGCAAAGCUUCAAGUUUUGUGUAAUUGUUUUUAAUACAAGAGAGUUUAACCAUUUUAAAAUGUUUAAUGAGUUAUUUAAAAUAUUGAAAGUAAUGUACAAUAACUAAUUUAUAAUUUUAUCAUUGCUCUUGCUUUAUUAUAGGUCAAGUCAAGAUUUUCUUAAAAAUAAAAAAUUAUUUAAAUUGUGAAUGUUUUAAUUUAUUCUGGUAAAACAAAUUUAAAUUGUGUGGUGAUUUAACUUGAUUGAAUUUGUAGUUUAAAAAACAAUCUAGAUAACCAGUAAAAAUAUAAUUUAACUCGUAAAAAAUUUCAAGAUUACAUAUAUUUUUUUAAUAUUAAGAUAACAACAAAUUAAUUGAUUUGGGUCAACUCAAUUUAACUUAUUAAAUUCAUAACCCGAGUUAUGAGAUUAUGAUAACCAUGUAGAAAAUAAAUUAUUAAGUCUAAUUCUCAACUACCAAAUAUUAAAAGAUAAAAUUAAAAUAAAUAAAUAAACCAUGUGGAGAUUGAUUCGAUGUGACUUAAUUGAUUUAGCUUGUUCAAAAACAACCCGGAUAAUCAGUAAAAAUAUAAUCUGACUUAGAAAAAAAUUCAAGAUGAUACUUUUUUUCCAAUACAAAGAUAAUAAAGUAAUAGAUUGAAUUGGGUUAACCAGAGUUAACUUGUUAAAUUUUUUAUCUGGGUAUAAGACUGUGAAAUCUAAUUCCUAUUCAACUAAAUAUUUAAUGGUAUAAUUGAAAAAUAAAAUCAAUUAAAAAAUGAUCUAAAAAUAUGAACAUAAUUAACAUGUCAAGUUCAUAACCUAUGUUAUAAUAAAGAUACAAUCUUAUAGAAAAAAAAAAUCAAAAUAAAUUAUGAAGUUCAAUCUUAAAUAACCAAAUUUUAAAAGAUAAAUUUUUUUAAAAAGAACGUAAAAAUGACCCGAGUAAAUCCACCAAACUCAUAACUCGUUAUGAGAUCGAGAUAAUCUUAUAUAAAAAAAAAUUACAUGAUUUAACUCGUCAAAUCUAUGACUUUGGUAACAAGACCAAGACAACCUCUUAAAGAGUAAAUAAAAAUAAAUUAAAAGUGCAAUCCCUAAUUGACCAUGUCAAACUCGAUGUGAAUGAUGCAAUUUCUAAAAAUUUAAAUUAAAAAAUAACAUAAAAAAUAAUUUAGACCAACCCGUCAAGCAUCAUUAUUAGAUUACGAGGCUAGGAUAACAUAAUAAAAAUAAAAUCAAAACAAACCACAAAGUCUAAAUUCUAAUAAAAUAUAUUAUUAAAUAAUAAAAUUGAAGAAAAAAAAUUAAUUAAAAGAAAUUCGAGUCAAUUAGGCUAACUUGCUAAGCCUGUGAGUUAGGUUAUAAAACAAAAAUAACCCAAUAAAAAGUAAUUUCACUAUUGAAGGACUCGUGAUCUACGUCAUGAAAUCAACAUAACCUCUUACAAACAAAAUAAAAAAAAAACAACUCAAUUUAAUUUGGAUUAAAAUGUCAAAACCUCCACCUCUAAUCAUAAAACUAGGAUAAUUAUAUAGAAAAUAAUUUGAAAUAGAUUAUGAAAUUCCAUUCCCAACUGACAUUAUAUCAAAUGAUAAAGUUAGAAAAAAAAUUCAAUUAAAAAAAUAUAAAAUAUAACCCGAGUCAAUUUAGGCUAAUAUGUUAAGUAUUAUUUCCAAUUUAUGAGGUUAGAAUAAUCUAAUACAAAACAAAUAAAACAAAAUAUGAAACUUAAUUUUUAAUUAAAAGAUAAAAUUGUAAAAAAAAUUUAAUUAAAAAAAAUCAAGUUAAGUGAGUGAAUCCAUUAAAUCUACAAUUUUUAUUAUAAAAGUGAGACAACUUAAUAAAAAUAAAUUAAUAUUAAAAUAAAAAACAUUCAAUAAAAAAAACACUCAUUCAGAUAAUUGUAUAAAACAUAAUAAUAUAAAGUAUAAUUUAUGAUUUAUUUAUUUAUUUUAGCAUUUAGUGAAGUCUUUCCAAUCAAACCCCUUUUUUUUUUUUAUAAUUUAUAAAAAAUAAAAAUAUUUUAUUUUAAUAAAUGUUUAAAUAAAAAACAAUAAGAGACAACCGUGACCACUUAAAUGGACUCCUAAGCACACCAAGUUAAGAGUUAAAGAGCCGAGAGAGAAAAAGCUUUUGCCAGUUCUUUACACAUUCUUUCCCCUUCUGUCACCUGAACAAAAUCCCCUCUUCUUCUUCUUGUUUGUUUACUCUUCCUUCGUUACUUUGCAAAGAGGAGAAACCAUGGCCGGGGCUUUAGUAGGAGGAGCUUUUCUUUCUUCUUUCCUUAAUGUUUUGUUCGACAGGAUGGCCUCUCCCCAGGUGAUUGCCUUCUUCAGAGGCCAAAAAGUCAACGAUAGUAGUCUGCUGCAGAACUUUGAAGAAAACAAUGACAUCUCUCAGGGUGGUGCUUGAAGAUGCUGAGGAGAAGCAGAUAACAAGUUUAACUGUGCGGGAUUGGCUGGUCGAUCUUAAAGACGCUGUCUAUAACGCCGACGACUUCUUGGAUGAGAUUGCUUAUGAAGCUCUACGGCAGGAGUUGGAAGCUGAAGAGCAAACCUUCACAGGUCAGACGCAGAAGCUUCUUUCUUUCAUUAACCCACUUGAAAUACUGGGGUCGAGAGAGAUCGAAGAAAAAAUAGAAGUCCUUUUGCAGGAUCUAGAUCCCUUAGUUGCAGGAAUGGCAGCCCUUGGUUUGAACAACCGCAAUGUAGAAAAUCCAUCAUCGCAUAGAACACCAACAACUUCUCUCGUGGAUGGAUCUGGUGUUUAUGGCAGAGAUGAUGACAGGGAAGCAAUACUGAAGUUGCUUCUAUCAAAGGAUGCAAAUGGAGGAAACCCUGGUGUCGUCCCCAUUAGGGGAAUGGGCGGGGUUGGUAAAACCACGCUUGCUCAGCUUGUAUACAAUCACAGAAGAGUACAGAAGCGGUUCGACCUCAAAGCUUGGGUUUGUGUUUCAGAAGAUUUCAGUGUUUUGAAGUUAACCAAGGCGAUCCUUGAGGGGUUCGGUUCAAAGCCUGCUUCUGAUAAUCUGGAUAAGCUCCAGCUUCAGUUGAAGGACAGAUUGGAGGGAAAGAGAUUCUUGCUUGUUUUAGAUGACGUUUGGAAUGAAGAUUAUGCUGAGUGGGACAAGUUGCUUACCCCCCUGAAGUACGGAGCACAAGGGAGUAAGAUUCUUGUCACAACACGCAAUGAAAGUGUAGCAUCAGUCAUGAGAACUGUUCCAACUCAUCAUCUAAAAGAAUUGACGGAAGACAGCUGCUGGUCCUUGUUUGCCAAACAUGCAUUUCGUGGUGAAAAUCCCAAUGCUCAUGAAGAGUUGCUAGAGAUUGGAAGAGAAAUAGUGAGAAAGUGUAAAGGCCUUCCUCUAGCUGCGAAAACACUCGGAGGUCUGCUACGCACCAAAAGAGAUGUCGAGGAGUGGGAGAAGAUAUUGGAAAGCAAUCUAUGGGAUUUACCCAAAGACAAUAUCCUCCCAGCUUUGAGAUUAAGUUAUCAUCAUCUCCCGUCACAUCUGAAGCAAUGUUUUGCUUAUUGUGCCAUAUUUCCAAAAGACCAUGAAUUUCAAAAGGAUGAAUUAGUGCUCUGUGGAUGGCAGAGGGCUUCUUAGUCCCUCUGCAGUAGAUGAUGAGAUGGAAAAGCAGGUGCUGAGUGCUUUGAUGAUCUCUUGUCAAGGUCGUUUUUCCAGCAAUCAAGUGCCUCGCUCAUCAUUUGUGAUGCACGAUCUCAUGCAUGACUUGGCUACCCAUGUGUCCGGUCAAUUUUGCUUCAGCUCCAGGUUGGGGGAAAAUAAUUCUUCCAAGGCCACAGAAGGACUCGACAUUUAUCACUCGUAGUAGAUACGGGAAGGGUUUUUCAAGCACAAAAUUAGAAAACAUCCGUGAAGCCCAACUUCUACGCACAUUCCAACUUUUCACGCUAUUGUUGUCCUCCCGAAUUUAUAAUGAGAUCUUUCAGUCAACACUUGGGCGCCUACGAGUGCUAAUCAUGACUGGUUGUAGAGAUCAACUUGUUAUGUUCAACUAGCAAGUUGAAGCAUUUGCGGUAUUUGGAUCUCUUCGGUCAGAUUUAGUAACGUUGCCUGAAGAAGUGAGUGCUCUUCUCAAUUUGCAAACGUUGAUCUUGAAAAUGCAAACAACUUGCUAGUCUACCUGAUCUUGGAAAUUUGAAGCACUUACGACAUCUGAAUCUUGAAGGAACAAGGAAUCGAAAGGUUGCCUGAAUCUCUGGAAAGGUUAAUCAACUUGCGGUAUCUUAACAUCAAGCACCCUUUGAAAGAGAUGCCACCACAUAUAGGUCAACUGGCAAAGCUCCAAACGUUGAAUUAUUUUCUCGUGGGAAGACAGAGUGAGACUAGCAUUAAAGAAUUGGGAAAGCUACGACAUCUACGGGGAGAACUUCAUAUUGGGAACCUUCAAAAUGUGGUGGAUGCUCGGGAUGCUGGUGAGGCAAAUUUGAAAGGUAAAAAGCACCUUGAUAAGCUGAGGUUUACAUGGGAUGGUGACACUCAUGACCCGCAACACGUAACAAGCACACUUGAGAAAUUAGAGCCAAAUAGAAAGCUGAAGGAUCUUCAGAUUGAUGAUUAUGGAGGUGUAAGGUUUCCAGAGUGGGUAGGAGAGUCCUCUUUCUCAAAUAUAGUGUCCUUGAAGCUCAAUGGAUGUACAAACUGCACCUCCUUACCACCGCUCGGGCAAUUAUCUUCUUUAGAGGAUCUCUCCAUUGAAGGAUUUUAUAAAGUUGUGACUGUGGGCUCUGAGUUCUAUGGGAGUUGUACUGCUAUGAAGAAGCCAUUUGAAUCCCUCAAAACAUUAUCUUUUAGAAGGAUGCCAGAGUGGCGCGAGUGGAUUUCAGACGAAGGCAGCCGGGAAGCCUUCCCUCUUCUUGAUGUGCUUUUAAUCGCAGAAUGCCCCAAAUUAGUUUCAUUUCCCAAAGGAGGGUUACCUGCUCCAGUCUUGACACGACUUGAGUUAGAAGAAUGCAGGAACUUGAAGCAGUUGCCUGAGAGUAUGCAUUCCCUCUUCCCAUCCCUUACCGAUUUGGUAAUAAGAGAUUGUUUAGAAGUUGAGUUGUGUCCAGAAGGGGGUUUUCCCUCCACAUUACAAUCACUUGAGAUUUCUAGAUGCAACAAACUCAUUGCUGGCCGCAUGCAAUGGGGCUUGCAAACGCUCCAUUCUCUUUCACGCUUUACAAUUGAUUGGGACGAAAAUGUUGAAUCCUUCCCUGAAGAGAUGCUGCUGCCCUCAAGUCUUACAUCUCUUAGAAUCUAUUCCCUACAACACCUGAAAUCUCUUGACUACAAGGGGCUUCAACACCUCACCUCUCUUAGAACAUUGAAUAUAAAGAACUGCCCUCUGAUUGAGUCAAUGCCAGAAGAAGGGUUGCCCUCCUCCCUUUCUUCUCUUGUAAUUGAAGGUUGUUCCAUGCUGAAAUCUCUUCCAAGGCUUCACCACCUCACCUCUCUUACAGCAUUGGGUAUAUAUGGCUGCCCUCUGAUUGAGUCAAUGCCAGAAGAAGGGUUGCCCUCCUCCCUUUUUAUUCUUUCAAUUCUCAAUUGUCCUCUGCUGGGUGAAAGUUGUGAAAGGGAGAAAGGUAAAGAUUGGCCCAAGAUUUCUCACAUUCCUCACAUAAGUAUAUAUUGAGGUAUUGCUACUAAAUAGUUUAUUUUCUUUUCAGUAAUCAAAGGCAAUUUCAGUUAAAAUUUGGAUGAAUGAAAUACAGAUAUUGUCCAUUUUGUAUUGUUUAUAUUUGUUGGAUGUUGAAAUACAGAUAUUUUCUUCCUAUUGUCUCUCAUUCAUCUCCAUAAAUAAUAAUCAUCAUUCUAUUUCAAUAUAUCGAGCUGGAGGAUCAUCACAUGCUUCAGAUUUUGAACUGCCAGCACCAUCCUUAAUUUGGACAGGGGGCUAUUAUCAUCGAAUUUUAGCAACGGGAUAUUUCUUUUGCUAAUUUAACAACAGAAUGUGUAUAUAUGAUUUUUUUAAUAUCAACAAUGAAUUUAGUAAUAGAAAAUCCAUUGCUAAAAAGGAUUAAAAAAUUAAAUUAUUUAACUAAUUUGCAGCGGAUUUUUCAUUAUUGACGCUCUUGGCAACAUCAAAUCUGCAACUGAUUCCAAAAAUAAAUCAAACCCUUAAUUAUAUAAAAUCUGCAUCUUCAAAAAUUAAAAUAAAAUUAAAAUUCACCAUCUCUUUCUCUAGUCUCUUCCCUUCUCCAAAAAAUCAAAAUUCAAAAACUUUUUUUUUUAUCUUUUAUAUAUUAUUUAACUUUGAUUAAAUUGUUUUUAUUCCAUAUAAAGCAGAAGUUAAAAAAUGAUUUUGGAGUACAUGUAAGUCAUAUCUUUUUUGGAAUUUGCUUUGAUAAAAAACAGACAUAAAGAGAGAAGAUAAUAUAAAAUUCAUGACUCCUUAUCGAUAUAUAUAUAUUUUUUUUCCUUAGUUCAUUCGUUUGAUUACAUUUUUGCUUCAACUCUCAUCAACACUCCCUUGUUUCGUUGCACGGCAUCAUUUAAAUGUACAUGGCUUGUGUUAUGUUCGGGAACAAAUAUUGGGCCAUUAACCUUUUCAAGCAAUGAUGGAGUAGGAGUGCAGUUAAAGAACACGCCCUAGCUGUUUGACAGAAUGCCGAUGAAGAUGAUAGUCAUUUUAGUGGUGCUGCUUGUAACAACCCAGGUAAGAAAACUAACGACCUCUUGAUGUGGUUUUCUAGGAAAUAAAUUAAAUGUUUUUAUUUGUUCAUGUGUUUUCUUCAGGAGGUGGUGCUAACCAGAGAAAGCUAAAGCAGAGGAGGAUGGCCAACAUGUUGGAAAGGUAAAAGGAUGAAGCCUUUUGUUAGAGGUCUAGGUGCUGUUGCACUAACAAAAGCACAUUGCCUUGAGGAAGCCCUCAAGUCUUACAUCUCUUCACAUCUAUUCCCUAAAACACCUGAAAUCUCUUGACUACAAUGCCAGAAGAAGGGUUGCCCUCCUCCCUUUUUGCUCUUUUUAUUAACAAUUGUGAGAGGGAGAAAGGGUUAAAUGAUCUUUGUAUAUUUGACUGUCCAGAUCUGGAAUCACUAUGUGCACAUGAAAGACCUCUCAAUGAUCACAACUCUCUCGAUUAUUUGGAAAUCGAGGACUGCCGUAAAUUAGUUUCAUUUCCCAAAGGAGGGUUACCUGCUCCAGUCUUGAGAGGACUUCAUUUAGAAGGUUGCAGCAACCUGAAGCAGUUGCCUGAGAGUAUGCAUUCCCUCCUCCCAUCCCUUAACCGUUUGUAUAUAAGUAACUGCCCUUUGAUUGAGUCAACGCCAGAAGAAGGGUUGCCCUCCUCCCUUUCUUCUCUUGUAAUUAACAGUUGUCCUAUGCUGAAAUCUCUUCCAAGGCUUCAACACCUCACCUCUCUUACACGAUUGAAUAUACAUCACUGCCCUCUGAUUGAGUCAAUGCCAGAAGAAGGGUUGCCCUCCUCCCUUUCUUCUCUUGUAAUUGAAGAUUGUCCUAUGCUGCGUGUAAGUUGUGAAAGGGAGAAAGGUAAAGAUUGGCUCAAGAUUUCUCACAUUCCUCACAUACAUAUUUGGAGAAGUUAAAGGAGCUAAUACAUAAAUCACAUUCUUUCAAUCGUCCAACAUAUUGAGGUAUUGCUACUAAAUAGUUUAUUUUCUUUUCAGUAAUCAAAGGUAAUUUCAGUUAAAAUUUGGAUGAAUGAAAUACAUAUAUUGUCCUAGAAAGUUGUAUGUUUUUAUUUGUUGGAUGUUGAAAUACAGAUAAUUUCUUCCUAUUGUCUCUCAUUCAUCUCCAUAAAUAAUAAUCAUCAUUCUAUUUCAAUAUCUUUUUUGCUAUAAUUAAUGCUACUAUUGUUCCUCUAUCAACUGCGGCAAAUAAACAUCACAUGCUUCCGAUUUUGAACUGCCAGCGCCACCCUUAAAAAACAAGUGUCCAUCUUAAAAGACAACGGGCCUAGCAGAGCUGAAAAGGAUUAAAAAAUAUUUAAAUAAUCUGCAACAUAUUUUUCAUUGUUGACGCGACAAAAUCAAAAUUCAAAAUUUAAAAUCUCCAUUCUCUCCUUAUCCGCAUCUUCAAAAAUUCAAAAUCUUUUCCCCACCUCUUUCUCUAAUCUAUUCCCCUUCUCCAAAAAUUCAAAAUCCAAAAACUUUUGAUUUGUUUAUUUUAUUAUCACUUAACUUUGAUUAAAAAACUUUUCUUGAAGUUUACUUCCAUCAAAGAUCUUUUAUAGAUAUAAAAAGAAGAGAUAAUAUAAAAUUCAUCCGCGUAUUGGAAUCACAAUUCAGAAUCAAGUGAAAGCGGCCAAUGUCACUCGAGAGAGUAGGCACUUGCAAAUCUGCUAAUAAUUAUUGGUGUUUAUUCCUCAUGAUGAUCCAGUGAGCUGACAAUAAAAGAAAACCUCGGCAUUACUAGUAAAUCGUCACUGCAAGCAUGGAAGAGAUUCAGGUAGGAAUUACCCUUGUCUUCAUUGAGAGGCUUUAACCUCCCUAGCUCCUUCAUCAGCAGGCCCAUGGUUCGAUGCAUCCUCUGAAGCGUCUAAGCAAGGAUUGCUUUUACACUGACUUACAGGCUGAGCACUGGUCAAGAGACUAGAAAGUUGAGACCCCCUUUGCGAAAAGUUUGGUUUACCUUUCGGAGUCUCAGACAGGCUUCCCGUUGACAGCUUUGAUAGGCCCAUAGUCAUGUGCUCACACGGGAGCUUAGUUGAAAAAGGUGAUUCAGGUGUAUCAGGAUGCUUCCCAGGAAUAUCCAUCGGUCUAUGAAACAGCAAAUGAGCCACAGUCCGGUCUACGGGAUUGGUCUCUGUUUCCACCUCAGGCAUCUUAACCACCCUGCAGUAUACUCAUAAAAUCCAUGAGGAAAAUGACAGGCAAGUUUGAGAUUGCCAUACUCUAAACAAAUUGAUAAAGACUUGAUUAAUAAUUUUGUGCAAACAAAUUGAAUAAUUUGGAAUGGGAAGGACGAGAUGUAAAGGAACAAACCCAGAGCACGUAUUGUUUGUACUGCUGGUUUCCUCUUUUGCAGCAACUUGUUCGUCCCUGCUACUGUUGUUUGUACUGCCAGUAUCACUAGCAUAAUGCCUUUGCAUUGCACUUUGAGCCAGCCGGAACAAGCUAUCCCGAAUACAAAGUCUAAUUCUGACAUCCAACUGUUGUAAAACAUUGGUUUGGAAUCGUAACCAAGCACAAAUUAUUUAGCAGGGAAAGAAUGCAAUAGUACGUGAAGCAUACCUUUGAAAUAAUAUCUUGAAGCCUGUAGAGUACUGUGUCCUCCAUUGAAUAAUCAUUAACCGCCAGAGAGACUGUAUUGGAAUCGUCUUGCUCAGUAGGUGAGUUUGGGUCAAAUGAAGCAAGUGUACUUAGAUCCUCUACUUCAAGGUCAGCUCCUUCAACAUGCUGAAUUUGAUUUUCUUGGGAACACUUUAGAUGAACAAGCUGCUGCUGCUGUUUCUGAAUGGCAAGCAUUGCCUGAAUUUGUUGCCGCCUCCUUAAUUUUUCAAUCUUUUCCUGAGGUGUCAUUCUCUGAGGUUUCACUGGACAGUCAGCUAACUUGUUUAUAGGAUCUGCAUUGCCUGAAACUUCAUAACCAGAAAUUUUAGGUCGAUGAUUAAAUGACUAGAAAUUUUGUUGGAAAGUCAGAAAACUUUAACAGGAUUCGCAUUACCUGAAGAAACUUCAUAACCAGAAGCUAAAGGUCGAUGCUUAAAAUCCCCAGACUGAAUGUGAGACAACCCAGGCAUAGAAUAUGGAUUUGUAAUACUCCCGUAUGCAGAAGGGGCCACAAAUGGAUUGGAUAUCUGCUGGUACUGCAACUGCUCGGAACCCUGUAGCUGUUUCUGUUGGCUGAGAAGUGAAAGGGGUGAAGAUUGCAUAAUUUGGGGUGCUAAAUGAUCCUUAAGUUGACAGGCUGGGAUUCCAGAUGAAGUCCAGUUUCCAUAAAAAUCUUGGUAUGAUUUCAGUUCACCUUCUUCUUCCAGUUUUUCCCGACCUUUCAAGAUCUUCUUUUGCCUGUAAGUCUGAUCACAGAACUAUAAACAUAUAAAUAGACAAAUUACUUAGAAUAGAUCAACGUUUUAACCAUCUAGACCUGCAGGGGAGAGUGACUAAGGCACAGUUAGUAUUUUAACUCAGUACAUGGUUUGUAAGGAUAAAUUCAAUGUUUUUUUUUUUUUUUAACUGUAACUUACGAUCCAAAGGGCUUCUAUUGUUCAGAAUAUAUUGAGGUAUUAGCUAAACUAUGCCAAGCAAACAGAAUUUGCAUGUCCCUGGGAAGAGUGGAUGCCAUGCUAGAAAUAUAAAUUACUGAUGCCUCCUGAAUUUUCACAUGUUAUUCCUUUCUCCUUCCUACUAACAGAAAACCACACAAUGGCUUUACUUUAGGCAAUCGAUAUCAUGGUUAAGUCAUGGAUUUGACAUCCAGGAUAACUUAAUUGAUGCAUUAUUGAAGUCAUGACUAAAUCAUGUAAAUCCAUAUUCACCCAACAUCCAAGUUUAUUCUCAUUCCAAAAAAUUAAACUAAAAAUAAUAGCAUGAAAUAUGAAGAGACGAAGAGGAAUUUAAAUAAUAUAAUUUCUCUUUUCUGUCGCCAUUUUCCAUUCCAGAGAAGUACUCAGGAAGUCUUAAUAAGUUCAAGUGUAAGGUAACUUUUACCCUUCCCAGCUCUAAUUAGGUUUCGCUGUCCCUCCAAUCUAAUUUAAGAUCUAAUAUGAGGAAACCACACUGUAUUAGUGAAAGGAUCACAAUAUCAAGAUUUUCCAACUUCAAUUCAAUGAUAUAACUUUUCUUGAAUCCUGGACAAAAGAACUUAGAACAUCAAAAGAUCAUAGCAGGAUUCUAAAAAACAAAGAUUGUAUUUGGUGCUUAUUGAGUCUAAAAGUUUUCCUGGAAGAAAAGGGUAAAAA
rnacentral:lncRNA from 1 species